rnacentral:rRNA from 1 species
GACGAACGCUGGCGGCGUGCCUAAUACAUGCAAGUAGAACGCACAGUUUAUACCGUAGCUUGCUACACCAUAGACUGUGAGUUGCGAACGGGUGAGUAACGCGUAGGUAACCUGCCUGGUAGCGGGGGAUAACUAUUGGAAACGAUAGCUAAUACCGCAUAAUAUUAAUUAUUGCAUGAUAAUUAAUUGAAAGGUGCAAUUGCACCACUACCAGAUGGACCUGCGUUGUAUUAGCUAGUAGGUGAGGUAACGGCUCACCUAGGCGACGAUACAUAGCCGACCUGAGAGGGGGAUCGGCCACACUGGGACUGAGACACGGCCCAGACUCCUACGGGAGGCAGCAGUAGGGAAUCUUCGGCAAUGGACGAAAGUCUGACCGAGCAACGCCGCGUGAGUGAAGAAGGUUUUCGGAUCGUAAAGCUCUGUUGUAAGAGAAGAACGGAUGUGAGAGUGGAAAGUUCACACUGUGACGGUAGCUUACCAGAAAGGGACGGCUAACUACGUG